rnacentral:rRNA from 1 species
GACGAACGCUGGCGGCGUGCUUAACACAUGCAAGUCGAACGAUGAAGCUGGAGCUUGCUCCGGUGGAUUAGUGGCGAACGGGUGAGUAACACGUGAGCAAUCUGCCCUUGACUCUGGGAUAACUGCGGGAAACUGUAGCUAAUACCGGAUACUUUCCUUGGUGGGCAUCCACUGGGGAAGAAAGAAUUUCGGUCAAGGAUGAGGUCGCGGCCUAUCAGCUAGUUGGUGAGGUAAUGGCUCACCAAGGCGACGACGGGUAGCCGGCCUGAGAGGGUGACCGGCCACACUGGAACUGAGACACGGUCCAGACUCCUACGGGAGGCAGCAGUGGGGAAUAUUGCACAAUGGGCGAAAGCCUGAUGCAGCAACGCCGCGUGAGGGACGAAGGCCUUCGGGUUGCAAACCUCUUUUAGCAGGGAAGAAGCGAAAGUGACGGUACCUGCAGAAAAAGCACCGGCUAACUACGUGCCAGCCGCCGCGGUAA